rnacentral:rRNA from 1 species
CAAAGGUUGAUUCCGGUGGCGGAUGGGCAUGCGUCGCAUUAGUUAGUUGGCGGUGUAACGGACCACCAAGACGACGAUGCGUAGGGGUUCUGAGAGGAAGGUCCCCCACACUGGUACUGAGACACGGACCAGACUCCUACGGGAGGCAGCAGUGAGGAAUAUUGGUCAAUGGGCGGGAGCCUGAACCAGCCAAGUCGCGUGAGGGAUGACGGCCCUAUGGGUUGUAAACCUCUUUUGCCGGGGAGCAAAGUGCCGCACGUGUGCGGUUUGGAGAGUACCCGGAGAAAAAGCAUCGGCUAACUCCGUGCCAGCAGCCGCGGUAAUACGGAGGAUGCGAGCGUUAUCCGGAUUUAUUGGGUUUAAAGGGUGCGUAGGCGGACGCUUAAGUCAGCGGUAAAAUUGCGGGGCUCAACCUCGUCGAGCCGUUGAAACUGGGUGCCUUGAGUGGGCGAGAAGUACGCGGAAUGCGUGGUGUAGCGGUGAAAUGCAUAGAUAUCACGCAGAACUCCGAUUGCGAAGGCAGCGUACCGGCGCCCAACUGACGCUGAAGCACGAAGGCGUGGGUAUCGAACAGGAUUAGAUACCCUGGUAGUCCACGCAGUAAACGAUGAAUGCUAGUUGUCCGGGGCGAUUGAGUUCUG